CUCAAUUCUAUUCUCAUAUUACUUUUCUUCAGCAGUGACAUGGACAAAUUUAUUCAUCUGAUUUUACUUUCCAGUCUUGUUUCUGUUCCAGGUUGUUCAGCAGAGAAUUUAGCAUUUAAAGGAACAGCGACACAAUCAUCCACAUGGAGUACCUGGACAGCUCAAAAUGCCAUAGAUGGUGUCAGAAAUGU